rnacentral:lncRNA from 1 species
CACCUUUUUACUUUGUUUUACCUCAUCAAACAGGCGCACAACACAUUUGAAGAAACAAAAUAUGAAUCUUGGAAGCACAAGGGGGAUAACCAUUGCACAAGACUUCAUGUGUGCCUCCAUCAUAGAAAAAUAGACUGAAUUUUGCCAAGUUCUAAGGAUGAACAAAUGAACCAUACAGAAUAUUGUCAAAACCCCAGAUUUUUUCUCACUCAAACAAACUUCUGUACUUGCAUAAAACCCUCUUUGAACUUGGACGGCACCUACUGCUCAACUUGGACUAUGACCAGUGCUCAACUCGAACGGAGGCGGUUGUCGUUGCUUUUUAACCAUGAAUGCUUCUAAAGACAUUGGGAAUUGCUUCAAAAUUGGUUUAUACUUUUUAACAUGAGUGUUCUCUCAGCUGGGCCAAGAAGCAAUGCAUACAUCAUAUUUUUAUUCUGCAAGAAUGAAACACUCCAAUAAUUAACAACUAAUCUAUCAGUACAUGUAGAACAAUUUUAGUUUUGAAAACAAACUUCCAUUGACGUGUUAAACUCUGAAUCAGUAUAGAGGACAUGAUGGGUCUCGGGCUACUUAGAAAAUCUAUGAAAAAUUGGCAACAGGACCAGCAUCAACAUUUUCCACUUGUAAGAUAAACAUAAAAUAGAAGUACUAGCACUGAACUAGUAGGAUUACCUAAAACAUGGUAUUUCCAGUUUGAGGAGAAGAAUCUAUGAAACCAGCUUGCAUGUCCAACCACAAACCAAGACUAACAUGUACUGUUUUGCUCGGUCUGGGAUGGACUGUCAGAAUUUACAAAGCCACUUAAUUACCUUGAGUGCACACAUGAUUUUUGGGGAUUUCCUCAAGAUUAUGCACAAUAAAGCAUACAGACUAAAAAGAAUAGACAAGCUGAACUGUAAACCAAAAUAAAUUGCCACUGUGUUCCCCAUAUAGCAACUAAAACUCAGUACCACUACACCUUUUAUUGCUGCACUGCUACUUAGACAAGGUAAAUCAAUAAAAACUGAACUAACAAACUUCUACUUAAUAUCUUUUCUGCAUGUCCAUGGCGGCAGUGUGCAACUGUUUUUUUUUCAGAAAGACUGUAAGGGAACCCCCUAUAGUAUAGUUGGUGCAACAAACCCAAAUUGCAAGUACCUUGCCUUGAACCUGGGUGGGUGGGAAGGCAUCAGCCCCUUCCCACCACUAGGCUAUGCCUUAGAGCAUGUAGUUGAUGUGCGGGAUGCAAAUGCUUCUUAGUGGUGGACGCAAAUGCUCGUGUGCUGGACACAAGUUCAGCAUAUAUAUGUCCCUGUAUGAACUUACAGAUUUCCAUUUCUUUCUUUACACAUAUAAAAGUCAGUGCUUUUUUGUAGAAUGAACACCUACUAUUUUUACCAAUUGAACUAUUAAAGCAUUGAAAAUUGAACUUUUAUUGAGUUGUUAUACAUAGCUAACAGUGGACAAAGAUAAAAAUUAUCAGUUUCCUUAAACAUAACCAAAACAUGCAUUUGAAUUGGUUAUGUACCUCCACUCAAAGAGAGCUUGGACUUGCUACUAUUCUUUCUCUAACCGCCGACAGUAGAUUGAUGUCAAGCAUUAUAACAAGUACCCGUCCCCCUUUGUGCUAAACAAUCAGAACCGUCACGCAUAGGGAAGCACCAGCAGCAUUUCGAGCAUUUUCAAGCAGAGUAAAAAUACAUUAAUAUUUUAGCAAUUCAAGCUACAACUAACAUUAGCAGGAAUUCAAGCGAAAGAAUAGAUAGAGGUUAUGGGAGAGAGGAGAACAUGAGAGACCUUAGCUGGAGCAUAGUGGAGGUUGGGAAAGGAGGUAAACUCCUGAGCUACGGUGUCGACCGACUCGACGUUGUGUCAUUGAACGACCCAUGGUGGAAGCAGUGAACAAUGUCGUGCCAACGUGUAGGGCCAGCACCGAGGCUAGCACGCAGAGGAUCCUAGCUGCGGUGGCUCAACGGACCUAAGUGGCGGCAAAGAAAAUGAAGCAGUAAAUAUACAACAUUCGCACCACAAGAAAAUGAAGCAGUAAAUAUACCUUAUUUUUGUACAUACAAGCAUACAGAAAAUUAUAGAAUCAACAUAGUAUAGCAUGAUAUGUAGUUGCACUGACGCUCUGGGAAUUAUAGAACUGAAGAAGCACAGACUUGCUGCACAAAUAAAUAAGAUAUAAAUAUUUACUGUCCAAGAGCGCCCAUGCCAUGUAUUCAGAAUUUCCUCGCACCAUUUGUCAUACACAAAAGUCAUGUAUGGCUAUCAGGCACAACUUCUAUAUAUAGAAGGGCUAGCAAGGGUCUCAAAAACCAACUAGGAGUACAUGAUUUCAAUCAACUCGAUGCUCAUCAGUACUAGAAUUACUGGACAAGAAGUUUAGAUUUGUAGCAGCACACGCACCAAACUUACAGAUUUUUCUUGAACUUAUUUAGGUGACUGAAGACAAGCAAUGAAAGAUCUGGAUCAAGUAAAGAUGUUUCUCUGAGCAUUCUAGUCAUCCCUCUGAUCCCAACAAGGACCUACAGAAAGUAGAAACAUUGUUCAGAAAUUGGUUGGGUAACCAUACUUUUGUACUGAGGUAAACCUUUUCAUCGAACUGUUGCCAAAUUUUCAGAGACUAAGAGUUAUGCUCGAAUCAACAUUCAGUACCUCUGUACCUUUGCUAGUCACCGCACUAAACUAAACUUCAGAUAGAAAAUAGAGGUAACAAUAGCACCAAUUGGUAGUUGCAUAGUAGAGGGCAUGCAUCAGCAGCAGUAGAAAAGGAUGCGGCUGUGCCGGGUAGUACUAGGUGCAGCAGCAGCUUGCAGCAAGGAGCGGCUUGCACUCAGCUCCUUGAGUGACCGACCAUAAAGGAAGCAGUUGGACUGUUGGGCUGGAGGUCCUCGACCCCGCGAUUCCUCCAGUAGGCUCCACUUUUUGCCGCUGAAGCAUAAGCCAUGGCCUUGGAGCAGGACGCAUCCACGGCAGCAACAUUGAACGGACAAGGAUGACGGCGGCGAACUGCUUGUACGUAGUGGCGGGGACAUUGAACGGAAGGGAAUGGCGGCGGCGAACUGCCUAUACGCGGUGGCGGCGACAUUGAACGGACAAGGGUGCGGUGACGACUGCCUGUACACGAUGGCUGCAUAGCACCAUUGGAGAGGAGGCAGAGUGGGAGAGGCCAGCAACCCUCGGUGAGGAGGCGUGCCGAGAGGGCCCGGCGCCCAUUAGAGGGGAGGCGCGUGGGCAGGGGCCGGCGCCCGUCGGAGGGGAGGCACGCUGGGUGGGGCGGGCGCUCGUCGGAGGGGAGGCGUGCGGGGAGGGGCUGGGCUCGUCGGAGGGGAGGCGUGCGGGGAGUGGUCGGCGCCCGUCGGAGGGGAGGCGCGCGAGGAGUGGCCGGCGCUCGUCAGAGGGGAGGCGCGCGGGGAGUGGCCGGCGCCACAACCGUGGGAGGCGUCGACGGUGCACGGCGUUCGUGGAAGGCGGCGACGGCGCGCGACAACUGUGGGAGGCGAGGACGAUGCAUGGCGGCCGUGGGAGGCAGAGACGGUGGCGCGAUGGAAGGCGUCGGUGUAGAUGCUAUCGAUGAGCUCCUCACGGGCUCUUCUGUUGCUUUUGUCUAGGGCCGGGAUGCUUAGCUGGGCUAUUCCUCCGAUCGCUCCUAUAAGAGGCCGACGAGUAACAGAAUAAUAUUCUGUUACUAGUAACAAAAUAGCUCAGUCCUAUAUAUAUAUAUAUAUAUAUAUGUGUGUGUGUGUGUGUGUGUGUGUGUGUGUGUGUGUGUGUGUGUUAUUCUUCUGUAGACAGAGCAAAUCACACGGCUUAUUAGCAGCAAUCAUCUGUGUUAUUAUUGGUCUUCGCACACAUUUCUGAUUACGGACCUGUUUGCCGCGUAUCACACACAUCUUGUUCAGUUGAACUGUUUCUGUUGUGUGGGCUCAUCACAAAAAAGUUCAUCCAAGUAAACUAUAUGCCCCCUAUCGCACACACCUUGAUCUGGCUGGCCAUUUCUGAUGUAUGGAGGAACCCUAGGGGCCGAUCUUUCAUGUUUGGAGAGGAUCCUACGGGGAAAACACGAAGAACGCGUGGAAGAACAAGAAGGAAAUCACGGGGCAAACAAGAGAAACACAAGGGCUAGAUCAUCGAGGCAGAAAGUAACACGAGAGCCAAAGUCAACAAAGGAUGAUACAAGAGUAACCGUUCUUCUCCGUGACGAGGUCUUGAUUGUCUUCUCCGGAUGGAGGCCUUGAAUCCGGAUGGAUCUUCUCUGAAGAGGUGCGGUCCCUCACUAGGAGUAGAUCCGGUACGGAUGAGCAAUGCUCUAUCUCAAAUGAGCUAUCACAAUGCUAACCCUAUCUAGGAGAUGGGAGUGGUCUAUAUAUAGUCUUAGUGAAAAAGAGGGGCGAAGUGAAGGGGUACAUGGGCCUCAGCCCGCAGCUGGACGUAGCCAGGGUCCGGACGUCCGUGGGGCGCCGGUCGUUCGGAGGCUCGCGGGGUCCCGGACGUCCCGGGUUCCUCGGGUCCGCAAAUUCUGUUCUGUGGUCGCUGGCAUGGUCGUCCGGACACCUUCGGAUUUCCAUAAUUUCUGUUCUAUGGUCGCUGGCACGGACGUCCGUAGGGGCUCGGUCGUCCGGAGCCUGGGAGUGUCCGGUCGUCCGGGCUGGGCCGAUCGUCCAUAGCCUGGAGCUCGGGUCUGCCUCUCUUCUCUUGGCUGUAGCACCGAGAUAAUUCGCUGAGCACCACCUUAAUGUGGAUCCUAAGAUGAAGCUUGUUCGACAAUUCCUCCGUCAUUUCAACGAGGAGAGGCGUAAGGCUAUUGGUGAAGAAGUGGCCCGGAUCCUAGCUGUUGGGUUCAUCAUUGAGGUUUUUCACCCUCAGUGGUUGGAUAAUCUUGUGCUUGUGCUCAAGAAAAAUGGCACUUAGUGUAUGUGUGUGGAUUACACAGAUCUCAACAAGGCUUGUCGAGCUGAUCCUUUUGCUCUCCCCCGUAUUGACCAGAUUGUCGAUGCGACGGCGGGUUGUGAGUGUUUGUGUUUUCUGGAAGCUUAUUCUGGUUAUCAUCAGAUCAAGAUGCCAAUGGAAGAUCAGGAGAAGACAACCUUCAUUACCCUGUUUGGAGCCUUCUGUUAAGUGUCUAUGCCUUUUGGGCUCAAGAGUGAUAAAAGCGACUUACUAGCGUUGUGUUCAGAAUUGCUUUCGUAAGCAGAUUGGACACAACGUUCAUGCUUAUGUGAAUGACAUUGUGGUUAAGUCAAGGAAGAGGGAUGGGUUUUCAAUCUUUAGGGGUAAACAUAACUCUAUGGGGUUGCACUUGGUCGAGGAGGCUGUAGCAAAUGUCUUCAGUGCAAGUUGGUCGCUGAGGUGGAAUCCUUGGUGCAUCUUGUGUUGCCGGUCUUUAGUUGAUGAGAGAGCUAAGAGGGGAAAGUAGCAUAGAUGGGGGGAUGCCUGAAGGGGGUGGUGUAGUCCAAGUGCAAUCAAACAAGUGCCGAAAGGGCCAAAUACAAACAACAAGAUAAGGCAUGUGAUAUAGUUGCAUACUUGUUGCCUAGGGAAAAAGUGUGACAUAUAUCAAAACACGAAAAAUAAAUAAAACAAGCAACACUGAACAUGGUUCCAUCUGAACCAUCAUAUGGACUUGACUUCGGAUAGGGAAUACAUGACUAAUCCUGCCCUAGGGGUUCUCGGACUCAGUAGUCGUGCUUGCUUCGUGUCUCGUACAAUCUUUUAGGUUUUCCUUAGGUGUCGCUACAUCUCUUGCAGUUGUUCGAUGAAACGAUUCGGGUUGGGCCUGAGGAAUCUUCAUCUUCUUUCCUGAUGAGAUGAUGGGGUGAAGGUGGUUCCUCGUAGAUGGCAUUGUCUCAGUCUACUGUUGUCUUCUUAAUCAUGACGAUCCCUUUUACCUUCUGAGGCAUCGACUGUACCAGGUAGGCAAUCCUUUAUGCAAUGACAUUAACAAGCAUAGUAGAGUGGUUGCGCAUGUUUGGUUCGAGUAACGGUCACAACUUAAACAAUUCCAUCUUCAAAAACCACACACUCCCUUGCCUCGGCACACCACUUCUUUAUCAAGUGGUUACCUAGCUCAACAUCUCCCUCGGGCAUUAGUGGCACCCGAUGGGAUUUUCGAAAGAUCUUUGAAAGUACUUUUGUCUCCAUCAUCAUGCAUAUACCCGUCUCAUUUGCGUAGCAACUACUUUAGCAUCCUACCUACUUCCCACCCGCAUAACGCUCAUAGGAACGUAGGUUCAUGCACAAUGCAAGUAUCAAUGAGGAAGUAAUGGAGGUAGCCCACCAAAGUGGUUACCAUCUCAUCAUGAUUCUGAUGCAACAAGAAUAAAGUGCUAUAUGGCAUGCAUAAAAAGGGUUUCAUAGGCAUCGUCAAAGGGCUGAUUGCCUGGCUCUGCAAGGUCUUGAAUCCUUCUGGUCCAUCUCCGAGUAUUCCGUCUACUUUGUCAACUAAGGUCAGAAACAAUCACAGUAAGCACACAACAAGACAAAAAUAAAAGUGCUCUAAAAGUGAAUUGGACUUUUCAAGGAUACCUUUGGUCAUAUGAAAAAGGACCAAAGUGGUUUCAUUGGGAUUGGAUCAAUGGAGAUUUUUUGGAACAUUUCAAUAUGAAGGAUUCAAGGGAUUUAUGGAUUUGCAAGAAGUAUACAAAAAUAUUAUUUUUAAAAUUGUGCAAAGGAACCCAUUUAACAAGGAAUGAUUUUAGAAGCAUCUAGGAGUUGGUUUCAUUGAUUUGGAGUUCAAAUGAUUUUCCUAUGAAUUUGCAAAGUUGGCGAUAUAUGGAGAAAUGGACCAAUAUUUCAUGUGGCAUAGAAAGUAUUGGGAAAAAUGUUCAAACACAAAGUUUUAAACUUAUAAGUAUGUAGGAAUUUCAAUCAUGGCAUUCGAAUCAAAAGUGGGCCCUAUGUGAUUUUCUAAAGUUUAUCACAGAAAUGGAAAAAUGGGAUUUCAUAAAUAUUUGUGAAGGAAAUGUUUCUGUAAAAAUGAGAAAAUAUCACCAUGUGAUAGAAAUUUGAAUCAUCAAAUUUGGAAUCCAUUUUAAUUCUCCAGAGAUUUUACAAUGUUUCUCCGAAAAGAAAAAGGGAAAAGGUUUAAACAUUAUUUGGCGCUCGGGGCUAGGCUUAGCGCCGGAGCGCACUUGGCCUGGCCCAGCUACAUAGCCGCACAGGAGGGAAGGGGAGACAUCGAAUACGCACUCCUAGAGUAUGCCUUCCCUGAGCGGAAACGGCUUCUCCUGAACCCGCGUACAGUUAAACCCUGGGCCGGUCGUCGGGUCGCUCACGGGCGGGUCCCGCAUGCAGGUCGCCCGCCCUACCAUGCGUCAUCUUCUACCCCGCGAUGCUGGGCAGAGGGGGCCGACCUCGCUCGCUGCAGGCGCUGCUUCGCCUAUCCGUGCCGAGCAGCAAUGGGGAAUGGAGCUGCGGGCUUGGCCGCACCCAUAGGACGGGGCGGAGGGAGGUAGGGCCCCCUCCAUGCGUCCGCGGAGGCCGGCGAGUCCGGUGCUCAGCUGCUGCCCGUGUCGGUGACUCAAGCCGCCUCCGGUGAUGCUCGGCGCACCGGUGUGCUCGAGAGAUGAUGCGUCGCCGCAUGAUCCUAGUCGCGCACCUCGGGGAGAGCCAGAGUGAACGGGGCUUCAACCACAGCGGAGCAGGGCAUCGACCACCUUGGGCUUCGAGCGCAUGGGCGUCCCGGGAAGGAUUGGUGGCGGUGGGCGACUUUGUGGUGGUGAGGUGAAUUUGUUGGAGUGGCUGGGGGAGAUUUAGAGCUCAUAGUAGCUCGAAUUUGAGCGAUGGCCGUCGGCGGGGCUCUGGCCAUGGAUGUGGAUAGAGGGCACGAGGGGGCGAUGAUACGUCUCUAACGUAUCUACAAUUUUUGAUUGCUCCAUGCUAUUAUAUUAUCUGUUUUGGAUGUUUAAUAGGCAUUUAUGUGCUAGUUUAUAUUAUUUUUGGCACUAACCUAUUAACCGAGAGCCCAGCGCCAGUUUCUGUUUUUUGCCUAUUUUAGAGUUUUGCCGAAAAGGAAUAUCAAACUGAGUCCAAACAGAACGAAACUUUCGCGACGAUCUUUCUUGGACCGAAAGGAAACCAGAAGACUUGGAUAUGAAGUCGGAGACGCAACGAGGCGGUCAUGAGGCAGGAGGGUGCGCCCCCCUACCUCGUGGGCCCCUCGUAGCUCCCCUGACCUAGCUCCUUCGCCUAUAUAUACUCUUAUACCCUAAAAACAUCCGCUGCAACCUUCUAUACCCGUGAGAUCCCAUCUAGGGGCCUUUUUCGGCAUCCUGCCGGAGGGGGAUUUGAUCACGGAUGGCUUCUUCAUCAACACCAUUUCCUAUGAUGCGUGAGUAGUUUACCACAGACCUACGGGUCCAUAGCUAGUAGCUAGAUGGCUUCUUCUCUCUCUUUUAUUCUCAAUACCAUGUUCUCCUGGAUGUUCUUGGAGAUCUACUCGAUGUAAUACUCUUUUGAGGCAUGUUUGCCGAGAUCCGAUGAAUUAAGGAUUUAUGAUCAGAUUAUCUAUGAAUAUUAUUUGGUUCUUCUUUGAAUUCUUAUAUGCAUGAUUUGAUAUAUUCGCAAGUCUCUUCGAAUUAUCGGUUUAGUUUGGCCUACUAGAUUGAUCUUACUUGCAGUGGGAGAAGUGCUUUGCUUUGGGUUCAAUCUUGCGGUGUCCUUUCUCAGUGAUAGUAGGGGCAGUAAGGCACAUAUUGUAUUAUUGCCAUCGAGGAUAAAAAGAUGGGGUUUUCAUCAUAUUGCUUGAGUUGAUUCCUCUACAUCAUGUCAUCUUACUUAAUCGUUACUCUGUCCUUCAUGAACUUAAUACUCUAGAUGCAGGCAGGAGUCGGUCGAUGUGUGGAGUAAUAGUAGUAGAUGCAGAAUCGUUUCGGUCUACUUGACACGGACGUGAUGCCUAUGUUCAUGACCAUUGCCUUAGAUAUCGUCAUAACUAUGCGCUUUUCUUUCAAUUGCUCGGCAGUAAUUUUUUCACCCACCAUAAUAUUUGCUAUCUUGAGAGAAGCCACUAGUGAAACCUAUGGCCCCCGGGUCUCUUUUCCAUUAUAUUGAAUAUCUUUUACAUCUUACUAGUUUCCGAUCUACUAUUUUACAAUCUUUUACUUUUUGAUCUAUAAAGCAAAAAUACCAAAAAUAUUUACUUUACCGUUUAUCUAUCUCUCUCAGAUCUCACUUUUGCAUGUGACCGUGAAGGGAUUGAGAACCCCUUUAUCGCGUUGGGUGCAAGUUGUUGAUUGUUUGUGCAGGUAUUCGGUGACUUGUGCGUUGUCUACUACUGGAUUGAUACCUCCGUUCUCAAAACUUAGGGAAAUACUUACGCUACUUUGCUACAUCACCCUUUCCUCUUCAAGGGAAAAACUAACGCAAGCUCAAGAGGUAGAAAGAAGGAUUUCUGGCGUUGUUGCCGGAGAGAUCUACGUCAAGUCAAGCCAUACCAAGUACCCAUCCUAAACUCUUCUCCCUUUCAUUACAUUAUUCGCCAUUCGCCUCUCGUUUUCCUCUCCCCCACUUCUAAAACGAUUUAAGAAAACCUUUGCCUUUUCUUCGCCCCUCUUCCGUUCGUCUCUUUUCGUUUGCUUCCUGUGUGCUCGUGUGUUAGAUCGCUUGAUUCUCCUUCAUGGCUAGUCCUCCUAUCAUUGUCAGUACUCCCGAUAAUGAAGUCCUAAAUUUUACACAAAGGGAGGGAGAAAAUCUAAAAGAUGCUUGGUAUAGAAUUUGCAAUGCUCAAAACAGAUCUUCUAGAAAGCAAUCUACUUUCAUUCUUCUCCACAAUUUUUAUGUCGGCUUGGCAUAGAUAUGUUCUUGACACCAUUACCGGAGGGAAUUUUUUGGGAAGCCAUACGUUUGAUUCUUAUAACGCCAUGAUAGAUUUGUUGGGCCCGCCACCUCUUUUGGUCAAUGGAACUAUUUUAACCUUGGAACAUAUGAUGCAAAGACUUGAUAUUAUUGAGAAUAAAAUUGCUACUAUAGAGUCGAUUGAAAAUUUGGAUAAAAAUAUUCACAAUCAAAUCACUCAAUAUGGAUCUAAGGUAGGAGUUACUCUAAAGAAUCUUAGAGAAAAGGAACUCAUAGUUAAUGAAAAGAUAGAUUAAUAUUCUACCAGAAUUGAUAAACUCGAAGAUAUUAUUACCAACUUGGGUUCCACUUUUUCUGCUGUUAAAAAUACCUCGAAUCUUCCUCCUACUAAAGUUGCCAAGUUUAUUUACGUUCCUAAGAAUAAGGGUGAAUCUUCUAGUAAGGAAAAUGAAGAUCUAAAAUCAAUAAGUGUUCACCCCAAUAUUUUCGAUAUUGUUAAGGAACCUUUUGCCACAAAUGAAUUUCUCAAUUUCUUGCCUAGGAGUUUAAUCAUUGAUAAAACCAAAGAGUCUCCUAAGGAUUAUUUGUGUUCAAUUGAAGAAUGGCAUAACAAAGAUGACAAUACCUAGAUCUAUUCGUGUUUUUAUGCCUAGCUAAGGCGUUAAACGAUAGCGCUUGUUGGGAGACAACCCAAUUUUAUUUUUGUUCAUUGCUUUUUCCUCCUAUCUAGUAAUAAAUAAUUCAUCUAGCCUCUGGUUAUGUGUUUUUAUAUUUUAAUUAGGGUUUGUGCCAAGUAGAACCUUUAGGUUAGCUUACGGUGAUAGGUGUGUUGAUCCUGUUGAAAAUCAGAAACUUUUGCGCUUAGUAAAUUAGUUUUGAAAAUUCACAGAAACAUGAUUUUGAUCUGAUUCUUUUUGCUCCGGAUUGGUAAACAAAUCUGUGACGCCCGGAUAAUUAAGCCAGAGUAAUCCCCCCCUAAUAGUGGCCAUGUCAUCGUGAUUACUAUGCAAAUUGCCAUUUGUUCUAAAGUCCAAGUCAAAUUCAAAUUUGAAUUCCAAGUCAAAUAAUUUUUCUCUAAACGGUAAAACAAAAAUGUUUGUUGGGUUGAAAAUAUUCACUAACUAAUUAUCAUAUAAGAACCAACAUUAUUUGAGUAUCUGAAAUGCCAUUAACCUAUUUGGACUUGGACCAGUAACAUUUAAUUUAUCAAUUACAAUUUAAAUAAAUGGUGAAACUUCUCCAAAUAAAUUGAGACCUUGUGUGUGGCUUCAGAAUCCUACCUAGUAAUUACGUGCUAAGUUGCACCUAUAAAUAAAUUCAUUUAAUAGUACCUCAAAAUAAUGCAAAACAGAGGUGAACUAAAGAAAAGCAGAGAAUAAAGCAAAAACAAAAGGAGCCCAGCUAACUACUAUGCACCGGGCCCUAAUGGCCCCAAGUGCACAGCACGCUCAGCCCAUUCACGCCUGCUCCUACCUCCUGUUCACCUCGCUCCCGUGGACGCCCGUGCGCCGUCCAGCACGCGGAUGUCGCGCUGCCGCCCAUCCCGUGGUUGAACAGUUGGAUAAGAGCCCUCCCUCGACGCCCCUCUCUCUGCCAUGAACCCUAGCUCCCUCCAUUUUCCCCUCUGGCGCCGUUCUCCACCAAAUCGAGCCGCGUCUGAGAGGUCCCAUGGCUGCGCCGUCGACGUUGGCGCGGACACCGGCCUCCCCUCGCCUAUCCAGCAGGUCCAGGAGGCGCGCACCUUCACCCUCUUCGUCUACGGCAAGUCGCGCGAGCAGGGACGCCCUCACGCCGUCGCAAUCGUCGAUCCCCAUCGUCGGCCGUCGCUUCUACCUCGUCGUCGACCCGCCGCUGCCUGCGCUCCCGUUCAUUCGAAGAGCCACCAUGUGCUCCCUGGUGAGCACUCGCGCUGAUUCCCCCUGCUUGCCCCUCGAUUCAUGGCGGUAGCCUCCGUCCCCGACAUCGUCGGAGCUCGCGCGUACGCGUACAUACGUACGUGUGUACUGCUGCUGCCGCUGCGCUGCUUGCUACUGCCGCCGCCCUUGCACUGCUGCUGCGCUGCCGCCAUUGCUCCUUUGCUAAGUUGCUGCUGCUAGCGUUGCUUUGUUGCUGCUUCAUGUUGCUACUCAUGCGCUAUGCCUCGGCCAUGGCCAUGGCCAAGAGAUGUGUGUUGUGUGUGUAGCCCGCUAGUGCUAGUACCAGGCGGGGCUAGCCCAAUUAGUUAGGCUAAUCUCUACUCCUAAUGUCUCAGUUGGUAGGUCGCGUUCCGGGUUUUAUUUUCGUCCCACCUAACCCGGUCUAUUUUGGUACUUCUUUGGUAUUACUUCCCACCUCCCUCCCAACCGCGGAAAACCAAAAAAACCCCUAAGAUGGAGUCCCGCACCCGCACAACCUCCCGUCGUAAUUAACUGAGACGAUCGAAAAUAAACCACCGAGCACAAACCGGCGAAAAUUAACCAGCGAAAAAAAAACCAAAACAAUCGCACGCACGUACAAGCAAGGCCGCCUGCCCUCGAGCGAGAACCACUCGCACGCACGACUCGCUCAGCAAAUCGUGCGCCGCCGCCCUCCAUCCUUCGCCACCGCCGCUCCAUCCCUUCGCCGCCGCCGCUCCAUCCCUUCGCCGCCGACCUCGCACAUCAAAGCCGCCGCCGCUCCAUCCCUUNNNNNNNNNNNNNNNNNNNNNNNNNNNNNNNNNNNNNNNNNNNNNNNNNNNNNNNNNNNNNNNNNNNNNNNNNNNNNNNNNNNNNNNNNNNNNNNNNNNNNNNNNNNNNNNNNNNNNNNNNNNNNNNNNNNNNNNNNNNNNNNNNNNNNNNNNNNNNNNNNNNNNNNNNNNNNNNNNNNNNNNNNNNNNNNNNNNNNNNNNNNNNNNNNNNNNNNNNNNNNNNNNNNNNNNNNNNNNNNNNNNNNNNNNNNNNNNNNNNNNNNNNNNNNNNNNNNNNNNNNNNNNNNNNNNNNNNNNNNNNNNNNNNNNNNNNNNNNNNNNNNNNNNNNNNNNNNNNNNNNNNNCCACCCGCCGACGUUCCAGAUCCGGCCAUCGUUGACCCCCUCCACAUCAGUGAUUGGUCAAGGUAGGGGUGUGUGGCUCUAUCCAUCUUCCCGCGUGUACGACGUCCGUGUAUCCCGGGCAAGGGUGCUUGUGAGAUCGGGAGGCGAUCAAAAGGAGGAAGAGGAGAUCCAUGGUUGGGGAUACAUUCAACGACCUAGGCAUCAUCCUCCCUGACGUCGUACUCGAAGCCCGCAGCCAUUGCCUUCUCAAUCUACGUUAGUCAGCAGCAGCAAGGUCAGACCCCACUAUAUUUUCUUCAGAUCUUGCAUCGCCAUGGUGACUCCACAAAAUUUGUACAUCCAUUGCCGACGUUGGUAUUUAUUCAGCAGAGAAUUAACAACAGUAGACCAAAGCAAAGGGGGGUCAGCCUGAAUGGGACGUAUCCCCUCCAGAAGACUCGCCCUAGCUAACCUGCCUGGUACCUUUCAUUAGCACUUCUCCCAGUAAGUUUGCAAAUUUUGGAUCCACCACUUUUGAAUCAUGCUUGGUGUGUGCUGACGGUGCACGAGGAACGUGACGGUUUUUCUCCGAAUCAUGCCAUAGUUCUCUCAAUAUUGUACGUGUUGUUCUCUCAGCAUUGUACGUCUUGUUCUCUGCAUGAUGUGUGGUCGAUGGGCGGAGGCGACGACUGGCGGCUGUUCUAUUUACACCUGACAUGGUUGAGAGGCUAGGGAGCAGGCGAUUUUGCACUCGUAUUUGGUCGGCAAUGGAGAUGAAUUUGUGAGAGAUGUGGCUGGGAGUUGCACCGGUCAUUUUUCUGCCCUCUCUAUGUUAUCCCUUUGCACUAAUCGGUAAUUGCUUUUUGACCAGGGGAUAGGGUAGCGUACACGAACAGCAAAAUUGUAGAAGACGAGGAGGACAAUCUGAGUGACCAACAUUAUGUGGAGUAUUGAGAUGCAGGUAAGACAUGUGUAAUCUGAAUUGAGACAUAUGGAGGGCAUACAUAGUAUGUAUGUGCAGUUUUUAAUUGUAGGUUGAAUUCUUGUUCUCUAGAUCCAUCUUCACCGACAGCACGCGCUUGUCUGUGACCUCCCACCAGCAACGCCUUGAGGUCACCCACACAAGUGACCAAGCAAUUCCACACUGUCACCCUCUGCUACUUCGCCAACGACAUCGAGGAGGUCGUGGGUGAGAGCUACUGUCCUCCCUGGAGAACAUGCUCGUGCCCCAUGCGUAUGAAGAAGAGCUAAGACACUCGCAUGGGUGCUCAAGGAAAUACACCAGAUUGAGCGAGGUUAGAUUAAAGUUUCUUCAUUCUACACUAGCUUUUCUUGUGCCUUUAGGUAUUUCAGAUAAGUAUCGUAUGCUGCCUACAACAUGUAAGGGAAGCUAAAAAGGAUUACAAAAUAUUUAUGCUUCUUCAUAGUUGUCCAUUUGGUUCUAAACUUUGUUGAGUAGCAGACAUAUUUUACAUUAAUUAAUAAAUAAUGUUGCUGCACACGUGAGUUGGUUUGCAAUGAAGUGGGCAGGUAGACAUGUUUUUGUUGAAUAAAUAUUUUUCAUAAAUACGGGGACAUGAAGAUAAUCUAUUCUUUCUUUACUCCGUUGACAAUGGGACAAUGUUCUUUUUGUGUUUCAGAGUAAAAAAACAGACUCCAAUCUGAAUCUGACGAGUAAAAAAAUAUCGUUGUUUUUCAGAGUGUUACGCAAUUUAUCAACAAGAGCAAAGACUCUAAUCUGAUGAUGUAGGACAGCUUUAAUGUGACAGAGGAUCAUGGUGGUCGAUGGAUUGUGCACCCGGUAGUAGACUAGGAAAGGAACAUUAUUUACGGAACACAAUGAUAUUCAGAGCAGCCCUGCACUAUGUGAGAUUUAGAAGGUAUUCAAAUUAGUGUUUGUUGAUAACUGCAAAUUCCGUGUGUCCGAGUUUGAUAUUUUUCUUUCUAUCCCUGUCAACGUACUAAUCCGUUGUUCUUUGAUGUGCAGUUGGUACUGCCGGCGGAUGCAUCCAUGUGCUAAUCUCCUGGCACCGCGUAGACGGAGCCAAACGAGUUGGGGCCUCCAGCCGGCUGGUAGUGGACAACAACACCGGGUUUGUUAAUUAAUCAACAAGUCACAGAUUGUCCUCUUUUCUGAUUGGUCUGGUGUGGAUUAUCAGGCCUGCCGCGCAAUCAUAGAUUUAUCUUUUGAUUUUUGUGGGUGGACAGAAACACCCUUUCUAAAGUUUUCUAGGGAUUGUAAUGAAGCACAGUAACACACUCCAGCAUUCAUUCUUUGCUUGAUAUUAGCAAGCAAUGUAAAAUAACCAAGCUCACAACAUUCUAAAGCGGUCUAUUAGCUACUUCAGCAGACAACAGACAGAAAGAAGUAAGCAGUAUUUGAUUUGCUCAUACCCGUGGAGGGAUCGAAUUCUGCCCAAAGUUUGUCGCAGCACUUGUGGUCAGCGGCGAGGAUGAGCACCCACACCCGCUCCUUGUUGCUGGCCUCUGCAUCCUCCUCCCUUGAAGCGGGUCUAUGCGGGGAGUUGAUCUAGAAUAUCCUAUUGUUAGAUAUAACAAAUAGGUGACAAGAAAUAAACAAGAACUAUGUAGUACAAUAUAUGUGUCACACAGUAUACUUUGAAAAUGUGUAAUUUGAGAUUCUGAUAUAGAUGUAGGCCUGUAACACACCUUGAACAUGCACUGAAAAUUGUUGUUUACAGUCUCAUUUCUAAACCUGAUGAAAACCCCUAUUUAAAAAAGGAUUUAAUAGUUGUAGUGAUUCUUUUGUCAGAUUGAUAAUAUAUUGCAAAUUAUGCUUGAUGGUUAAUUUCUUGGCAUAAAAGGUGCUUAUUUGAAAUUUGGUUACUACUGAAAUUUUGUCAAGAUACUUGGACUUGUUCAUUGUUCAGUCAGGUUCCAAUCAAGAGUUAACCUGAGACAAUAGAAAGUACUGUCUGUGUAACUAUUGAUGGUUCUGGAAUAAGGAUUAAACCAAAUCAACGAAACAAAUCCUCGAGGAUGCCUUUUUUGGUAGCUAGCGAGGUUAAACUUUUCAAACCGUGCUCAGCCCUGUACUCAUAGGUCCAUUGUUUCAAUAUUUAUGAAGCACCACAUUUCCAAAUACAUUUAUUAAGCACCCUACCAAUGUCAAGUUUUCAGAUCUUGCGUACUUUCUUGUGGUACAUGCCUACAAAUUUUUGUACAGUCUAUAAAAAAACGACGACUGUCCGGUCUGGUCAUAAACGUAGCCUGAUCAUAAAAAAUGAAGUACACAAAAAACUUCAUAAACAUACUUGUCACAAUUUUUUAUUAACCUUGUUUUUACAAUCUUUCAGAUUAUUCAGAAAACGAUUUACACAAUUUUUUAUUUAGAGAAAGAGUUACCACCAUUUUUUUUAGAAACAACUUUCAUGUUCUUCUUUAGAAACAUUUUUUACCACUAUUAUGAAAAUAUGUUCAUAUUAAAGAUUACAGCUGCAAAAAAUAUAACAGCUGCAUGAUGGUUAAUCAAAUCAAGGAUGGUCGAGAACUUGCAGAUGCUACGUAAUUUAUUUUGAAGUUAAGACUCAACUUGGAGCAUUGGAGCAUUUGAGAAAUCUCACCACCAAGUCGACAUCCAGCAAUGGCAUCUAGAGCACAAAGGUCUAAAAUUGAAAAGUACACAAUCUGUUGAAAUGCUCUCACCAUCUCAUGAAAUUGAUGUGCUCGGUGAGGCAGAGGACGAUGGUGUAGUGCUGCCGAAGCUCGGUACUUCCUUCGCUGCACUGUGCUUGCUCUUCUAGGUGUCAUCCAACGUUGCCCUUGCGCGCAUCCGCAUCAGUCUCCAAC